AUGAACGCUGGCGGCGUGCCUAAUACAUGCAAGUCGAGCGAACAGACGAGGAGCUUGCUCCUCUGACGUUAGCGGCGGACGGGUGAGUAACACGUGGAUAACCUACCUAUAAGACUGGGAUAACUUCGGGAAACCGGAGCUAAUACCGGAUAAUAUAUUGAACCGCAUGGUUCAAUAGUGAAAGACGGUUUUGCUGUCACUUAUAGAUGGAUCCGCGCCGCAUUAGCUAGUUGGUAAGGUAACGGCUUACCAAGGCAACGAUGCGUAGCCGACCUGAGAGGGUGAUCGGCCACACUGGAACUGAGACACGGUCCAGACUCCUACGGGAGGCAGCAGUAGGGAAUCUUCCGCAAUGGGCGAAAGCCUGCCGGAGCAACGCCGCGUGAGUGAUGAAGGUCUUCGGAUCGUAAAACUCUGUUAUUAGGGAAGAACAAAUGUGUAAGUAACUAUGCACGUCUUGACGGUACCUAAUCAGAAAGCCACGGCUAACUACGUG
rnacentral:rRNA from 1 species